rnacentral:miRNA from 1 species
UGAUGAUGAUGAUGAUGAUGAUGAUUGAUGAUGAUACUACCUGAUCUACAAGUCCCGGUCUUCUAACCUUAAUAGCGACAACUCUAUCGUCGGCAUCAUCAUCAUCAUUAUCU